rnacentral:rRNA from 1 species
GACGAAGGGGGCUAGCGUUGUUCGGAAUUACUGGGCGUAAAGCGCGUGUAGGCGGUUGUCCAAGUUGGAUGUGAAAGCCUUGAGCUCAACUCAAGAAAUGCAUUCAGGACUGGAUGACUAGAGGACCGGAGAGGAUAGUGGAAUUUCCGGUGGAGCGGUGAAAUGCGUAGAGAUCGGAAAGAACACCAACGGCGAAAGCACUCUGCUGGGCCGACACUGACACUGAGAGACGAAAGCUAGGGGAGCGAAUGGG